UGAUAAAUACCUUUUAAAUGAUUAUUAUAGUCGAGUUUUGAGAAUAAUUUCCUUGGUUAAACCCAUCGUGAACUAUGCUAGAUCCUUCAAUAUCAACAUUAUACUCCUUUGAUCUAAGACUUAUUGUGCCAAGAACGCCUUCUUGCCUAAGGGUUAGUUGGGUAACAACAUCAUAAUUGGAAUAAUUUUUUAAGGGGAACUGACGCUUCCCUACAGUAACUCUAUCUGGAUAAAUGGUAAUUAUUUCAUUAGAAAUAAUAUCAAAUACUUGGUUAUUAUAGUAGAAUUUACCAUUAUUAACUUUGUAUAUAAUACCAUUAAUGUUAACUUCUUGUAUUGAUCCUGGAUUGUGAGAUAACUUUACUACAACUUCUGUGAGAGAGGACUGAUAAGUUGUAAUUAAUCCGUAUUCUCCAAUAGAAUUACAGCUACAAACUAUUUUUCCCUGUUUGAAUUUAGUUUCACAGCCAUUUUGAUACCAAGAACCAUCUUUUCCCUUAUAUGUGCAUUGGUAGCUUAAACGCUUACCCAAAACAACACUAGGAGUGUAUUCUGGGCUAACAAUAAAACUGAUUUUGUUCUCAAUCCCGUAAAGACGAUAUUCAUAGCCGCAUUUAGAUAUAAAUACGUCAUACACUUUUUGAAAUACUCCAUUAAAGCUUUUAUCUUGCUGAAUUUUAUUGGCUAAUUCAAAAAGAUAAUUAUACAAUGGAGGUUUAAUAAUAGUAAGGCCAUAUCUAGGAUCAUGGCAGUUAACGAAUAAAUUUCUUCCCCAAAAUUCUUGGUAGUCAACAUUCUCAUGAUGUAACUUAAAGUAUAUGUUCUUUAUCAACGAAAUAUCAAUAUUUUCAAGUUUUUCAUUACUAAGGUCAAGAGUAGGAAUAACUAGUUCAUUUCCAAUAGCUGCACCGCUAUGUAAAUCUAAAUUAGAAAAUAUUGAACUUUGAAUUGAUAAUUUUGUCAUUUUCCCCUUAAUUUCUAUCUGGCUACCAAAGUCAUUAUUCAUUGCCCAUUGGUUAACUGAAAAUGCUCCGAACAAAUUAGUAUCAGCUUCAAUAUUAUUAAGUAGUCUUAAUUCAACCAAG
rnacentral:antisense_RNA from 1 species